GCAUACAAUACUACUUCUACAAAUGUCUUAUUUUGUUUAAAAAUCUUGUUUGCUUUAAAAAGGUUCUCACUGCUUUGCAGGAGACUCAGUUCUCAGCUUCUACGGUUUCUGUUUUUGUUAGUUGCUUUUGUUCUUCACCAUUUAGAAGCGGGCCAUAUGUGCCUAAUUGUGAACUUCUCAUUGAAGUUUUGUGAUCUGUUCAAGAGCUGCAGAAUGGACUUGGACUUCAGUGCAAACAUGUACAAUAGAAUAAGGAUGACUACUGCUUGCAGAAAAGCUGGGCUGAAACAGAUCUUCAAGUACUGCAUUGGAUAUACUGGAAAUGUGCUGAUGAUUUUUAAUGCCUUUUUUUGUAUGUGUAACUUCAUUUUCAGGUGAGUUGUCAGAGUUUAGUUUGACUUUGGAAGUCUUUAGUUCUUGCAUAGAGAUUUACAACUGGGUAACUGAUCUAUAGAAAAAUCCAGAUUUAAUAUGGAAGAAUUAGAGAAGAGGCUAAGUAGGAAUUAGAAACUUGCGAAGGAAAUCUGUGUUACACUUAAAAUACUUCCCAUUUUAGACCAAGCUACUAAGAAAAUUUGACCAUUCAGAUGGAACCAAAAUGCAGGCUUUUCAUCAUCAAAACUGUAAAGAAUUUGUUGAUAUUAACUUAAAUGUAUAGCACACUUUUUUUUGUCAAAUUCCUUUUGUGUCAUCAAUUAUUUACGUACCAGGCAAGUAUCCUCCUUUUCUACACAGAAAUCAGGUUACAUAUGUAUCACUUCUGGUUAACAGUUAAAACAGUCUAAUCAAGCAAGUUAUGUUACCUUUUUUCGCUCCCCAUUCUUACUAAAUACUUGCUUUCAAGAGGUUUCCACCUAGUAAAUUGCCAGAGAUUCUUUGGGGAGAUUGCAUAACAUCUGGAGGAUUAAGAAUCCUAGCUAGCAUCUUAGUUAUUAACCUGUAAAAGGUGAUGUUUUCAUAUCAUUUUAAUUUUUUCUUGUAUUCCUUCUCUGUGGUCACCUUCUUCAGAAUAUUUUUAAACAGAAGUAGACCUUCUUCCAGGAAUGAAUUUCUUACUACUAUUUGAUACUUUGCAACAAUAUAUUCUUGCAGGCCUAGAAAUGGGGAACAUAUCUUUGUAAAGGUAGAUCUUAAAUUUUCCAGUAAAUGUCAUGGCUUUUUGGAGUAUCUUGAUACAAUGUGUCUUCAAUCUUCAGACACAUACACAUGCGUGCAUGCAGAGAGAGAGAAGCUAGUUUAUUUUAGAUUAUAAUUAUAGCUGAUGGAAGUCAUCAGCUGGCAACUGAGAGUCAUCCAGACUCUUCAGUAUGAGUGUGGAUCCUGGGUAGUUGAGGCUCUGACUAAAGAUUUAAGAUGGGAAUGAGUCUUCUGCAUUCAAAGACGCUCUUGGAUAUUCUACAAAAAUAUGGUUUAGAAAUGUUAGCAUAUUUUUGUCCCUAAAACAAAAUAUGCUCAAGUAAUAUCACAGAUAAAGAGAGCUCUAGAACCUGGGCAUCCGCACCCUCCUCUUGGUUAAAAACUAAUAGAUGACCAAAAGCCUGCUUCUCCAUGCUUUGACUUUGGAAAAGACUUGUGCAAUUCACUUACAAAGGGAUUCGCUGAGAGAGAUGAAAAUAGAGUAAUAGAUACACCUAUAGGAUCACUAUCAAAGAAUCCAGUGUAAGCUCUUCCAUUCAGAGGUCUAGUUCCCAUUCUUUCUCAUCUGCUAGCAUCUUCUAUCUCUGCAGCUGAAUUAUGGUUGUCUGACACAUGAAUGCUGAAGCUGUGAAUUGAGAGAUUGUCAUGAUUUUUCUCCAAGUAAAUUUGUCUUGGUGCGGCCAUAAAUUGUGGGGGGGUUUUCUUUCUGGUUUUCAAUUUUAUCACUUCCUUUAAUCUUUGGUGUGUUUCGUGGUCUUUAACUUCCAAGUAUAACUGCAAUGAUGCAACUGUUUAAUGGAUUAAUACAUGUAGUGUUUUCUCCCUAAGAGCAGUAUUUCUUCUUUGCAUCUAUAAUUAGAUCAUGCUGUUGCUGUCCUUAACCAUAAUGCCAAUGUUUUGUAUUCUCUGUACACCUGAGCACGUGCUUACACACUCAGUAAUUUUCAUUUUGUUCUUAGCUCACUGAAACUGAAUUUUUCUCCUCAUAUUCUUGUGCUUGGGUUGAAUGCUACUGCAAAAGAAACGUGAGGAGAGUUGCCAUCGUAUGUCUUUGCUGCACUGAGCUUUUGGAUUCACACUGGAUCUUUGUAUCCUACUGCUGCAUGUCUUGAAUAUUGGAUUUAUCGUACUUUAGACCCCAGCUCUAGGGUGACAUAUAAAGAUAUUGUAGAUUGGGGAGAGAAUUUGAUUUUGUAGUAAUGGUUACUUGUUGCUGCUCUGUGCGCAUUCCUGCAGGCAUCGCCUUUAUUUUCUGUGCUGGUAGUGACUACAAUAAUUCCAGUUGCUGCAGAACAGAGCAAAUCUCAUCUUUCACUGUGCAGGCAGGAGGGAGGUUAGCAAUUUUUCAUUGUUGUUGCAUCUUAAGGAUUCCCCUCCCACAUUACCUUGGCCCCUUCAGGAAGAUUUUCAUCUAUUAAACUUUCCUUUCUCUGUUGGAGGAACUAAAUCUCUUUCAGUGUUUCCAGGCUGGUGAUCUAAUUUGACAGCUUGUCCGUGAUGUCUAUUCCACUUCAAAGAGGCAGGUAGCCUAGGGCUAGCCAGCUGUAUUGUGGAUUCUGCAGAUUUGGCUUGCUGUUCCUGCUGGGUGUCAUCUGUCUUCUUAGUCUUGCGGUGGAUAAUUUUUGUCCUCCCUAGCAUCAUCUGCCUGAGCAGUUUCUGCCUGGCAGGCCUGUCUGUCCAGGUUGAGCAUCAAAUACAGUAGCCAUACAGCUAAUCUGACAAGGCACUACUCCAAACAGCGCUGCCCCAGGCCUGCUUUGACCAGGAUCAGCAUCACAGCCCACAAACUUCCAACUAUCAUGAUUGUAGUCUCAGUCUUCCAUCACAGAUGCAGCCCAUGGACUUAUUCUGCUCACACAAAGUAUGUCCCCCGCCCCUCUCUGUUAAGGGCUGUCACUCCAAUUCCUUGCAUCUCAGCAGAAGUCUGCCUCAACAGGUUUGGGUUUCCCUGCCUGUUGCCAGCAUUUGACUUGGACACCGCCACUUGGAUGAAACAAUCCUUUAGUGGAUUAUCAUUGCUAGACAGCCUGUGGGGAAAAAUGACAGCACUGGGCACAUUAAUCUGAAGAUUUUGCAAUUUGGAAUGCCGCUAACACUAAUAGUAAAUGGCACAGUGAUCCCUAAAAGAGAAAGCGGGUUCCAUUGCAAGGCAAAAGUGACAUACUUGGUUUAGUAUAUCUUCCAGAAAAAUACAUGAUGACUACAUAUGUUGAUUUUCAUGCUCCAAGCCACAAAUAUUUCGAUAUUUUUACAACUUGAUGACUACUUCCUACAAACUGACAGGUUAGGGGCUCUACAAGUAUUGUCUUUUUAUAGUCAUCACCUCGUUAAGUCCUCCUUAAUUUUUUAAAUAUGUUUUGAGAAUAAGCUUGACAGGGCAUUGACAGUAAGCGAGGCCAAGAAAGAAAAAAACAUAAAUGCAUCAAAUAAAGCAUUUUCUUUUUAAAAUAUAUAUAUAUUCAUACAAAGAGGAGAGAUGGUUUCAGGACAGUAGUCCUGGAAACCAGUGCACUGAUCUAUCACAGCAUUUGUCCUUGCUUCAGUUCUGGAAUUCAAAACCUGACACUGUUCAUGAUGUAAAAAGUUUUUCCUAGAAAUGCAGUACUUAUAAAUCCCCUAACUACAGGAUUUUCUCCCUAGCAAAUAAAAAGAUAGCUGGAGCAUAUGGCUUAGAGGAUGAAGUACCUUGUCUGAGAGAGAGACUAAUGCUUGGAAAGGACUGUAGUUAGAGUGGGGAAGGAAAAAAAUUAACAUUUGAACAAUUCUAUCCCUAAUACUUAAUGAUCAUUGAGCCAACUACAAUAUCCUAUAGGAUGUUGUAGAAGCACUAACCUGAUUUAUUGGUGAUUGUCUGGUACUUAACUCUGGAUGCAAGUGAAAAAUGUAAAUACCAAUUCAUAAGUUGCAAGCGAUGGUUAUUUCAGGGGAAAAGAGAGAUGUGAAAUAGAAAAGAAAUUUUUAUUUCAGUGAUUUUUAUUCCUGCUAAUUAUUGCCCAUUUAACAUGCAAUAUUUACAGACUAUAUAACAGUGAUAGUGGAAAAACAAUUAUUUUAGAUGAUAUAUUCAUGCUGAAUUUAAUAGCAACUGUAGUUGAAGUAUUUGACACUUCCCAAUGUAAGUUUCGUAUUAUUAUUAAACAGGUUUUAACCAUG